rnacentral:lncRNA from 1 species
AUGCAUUCUCUGCUAUGGCUCCAGCACCAGCAGUGGCUCCAACUCCAGCUCAAGCCCCGGCACCAGCUCCAGCUCCUGCCCCUGCAACGGUCUCUCCUCCCAAACCUGAGCCCUCUGCACCUGCACCUGUCAUUGAUCUGCUGGACACAUUCAGUUGUCCUGCUCUGUUGGACGCUACGCCCGCUGCCCCCGGGGGACCAGGAGAGGAUCUGUUGGGUGGUACGCACACACACACACACUUUAGCUUUAACCCAGUUGUAACACACCAUAAUCAAUGUCCCGGUGAGCAGCUAAUUAGUCAAAUAAAGUGAGCUGGAUUAGGGUUGUAGUAAAAGCUUGCAGGACUGUGGUUCUCCAGGAGAAGGGUUGUUAUUAAAAGCUUGCAGGACUGUGGUUCUCCAGGAGAAGGGUUGUAGUAAAAGCUUGCAGGACUGUGGUUCUCCAGGAGAAGGGUUGUAGUAAAAGCUUGCAGGAGUGUGGUUCUCCAGGAGAAGGGUUGUAGUAAAAGCUUGCAGGAGUGUGGUUCUCCAGGAGAAGGGUUGGGAGCCCCUGCUCUAAGACAUCUAUCUGCCGUUUGUGAUUCAUACUGCAUGUACAGUAUGUUAAUAUUGAAUACCAUGACACAAUGUAACUUAAAUCAAUGGAAACGAAAAUCAUUAUCACCGUCUAUAAUACUCAUUCAAAUGGUUCCCCACUUCCAGGACUGAUGUCUCCUAGCCUGGCUCCCACGGCAGCCCCUGCUCCUUUGGCCCCCGCUUUGGCCCCGGCCCUCGCCCCUACGCUGGCUCCUGUCUCAGCCCAGAAUGACUUGCUGGAGUGUGGCUUCGACACCCUCGGCUCCCUACCCCCACUAAUGCCCGCCACACCAGCAGCUGCAGACACAGUGCCGGCCGCAGCAGCACCCUCUGGUGGCUUUGAUGCAUCAGUGUUUGGCGGAUUAGGGGACAUACUGAUGCCAGCCAUAACACCCCAGUCCACUGGGGGUAGUGUGGGCAGCACUGUCAGUGGUGGGGUCAGUACCAAGUUUACACCUGCGGUCGGGGUUGGCAUGACAGGCGCCACAGCUAUUAAACGGCCAUCCAUCGGGGGCGACUUGGACUCCUCCCUGGCAAACCUGGUUGGAGAUCUGGGGAUUCAGAAAAAGUAUGUAUGGAGUUUCUUUGUGUUCGUGCUUGCGCGUGUGUGUGCGUGUGCGUGUUCUCCUUUUCUUUGUGUGCUUCCUAAAUAA